GUGGGGAAUCUUGCGCAAUGGGCGAAAGCCUGACGCAGCCAUGCCGCGUGAAUGAUGAAGGUCUUAGGAUUGUAAAAUUCUUUCACCGGGGACGAUAAUGACGGUACCCGGAGAAGAAGCCCCGGCUAACUUCGUGCCAGCAGCCGCGGUAAUACGAAGGGGGCUAGCGUUGCUCGGAAUUACUGGGCGUAAAGGGCGCGUAGGCGGACAGUUUAGUCAGGGGUGAAAGCCCAGGGCUCAACCUUGGAAUUGCCUUUGAUACUGGCUGUCUUGAGUACGGGAGAGGUGAGUGGAACUCCGAGUGUAGAGGUGAAAUUCGUAGAUAUUCGGAAGAACACCAGUGGCGAAGGCGACUCACUGGCCCGUUACUGACGCUGAGGCGCGAAAGCGUGGGGAGCAAACAGGAUUAGAUACCCUAGUAGUCC
rnacentral:rRNA from 1 species